rnacentral:rRNA from 1 species
CUCCUUUGACGUUAGCGGCGGACGGGUGAGUAACACGUGGGUAACCUACCUAUAAGACUGGGAUAACUUCGGGAAACCGGAGCUAAUACCGGAUAAUAUUUCGAACCGCAUGGUUCGAUAGUGAAAGAUGGUUUUGCUAUCACUUAUAGAUGGACCCGCGCCGUAUUAGCUAGUUGGUAAGGUAACGGUUUACCAAGGCGACGAUACGUAGCCGACCUGAGAGGGUUAUCGGCCACACUGGAACUGAGACACGGUCCAGACUCCUACGGGAGGCAGCAGAA